rnacentral:sRNA from 1 species
GGUACAUUCUGUGGCAUUACAUAGUAUUUCUGUUUGUCUUGUUCCUCGCUCCUCUUCCAGUGCAAUAGCGUCUGCCAAUUCAUGUCCAGAUUAUUCUAUCAAAAGAAUUGUCAGCCCAAGCUUAGAAUCUGUUCAUGAUGGUAUUAUUCUGUACUGCAUUGUUUACGCCUCUCAAGACCGGAAUCAUGUGUAUUGGUUUCCUGUUCUUUGCUCCUCCAGCCCCUUGAAAGCAAUUCUCGGUACAGCAGCGAGUACGGAGUACCCCGUAAACGGUUCCUCGUUAUAGUCUACGCACAUCAACUGAUAUCCCUUCUCCCGUGGUUGGACGGCCACACUCACUGGAACAGGACAGCAUGUUCGGGGAGGGAUGAGACGAGUUCAUCGUUUUUGCAUCUUGCCAUAUUGCACAAACUCUAUAACCUCCAUCGCCCUCAACAUUCCCAAGCCCAGACAUAUACGUGUUAUAGUAAAAAUACAUGUAAGGACGCAACCUUACAAAGUUCAUUCCGAUGAUAAUGUCUUAUCAUGCACUUAUUAUUGACGCAAUCUUGCGGGGUCACUGAAGUUGAGUUAAGGGUAAAGAUAUUAGGCCACUAGGGCAAAAGAGCUCAAUCACCACCAGCGCCGUGGUGGUAUAGAGGGUUGGCUAAUGACGACAAAGCAGC